AUGUUUGUUGUCUUAUUUUAGUUUUAUAUUCUCUGACCUACGUUUACCAACAACCAUCACGAAAUUUUAUGAAUUUCUUUUUCUUUCGGGGCGGGGAUGUUAUAUACUUGAUUUGUAUAUGGUUGUUGGAAACGUAGUUCAGUACGUAUCAUACCGGAAUCACAGGGGUGCUCCGGGAUGAUGUUUGUAAAUAGUAUAAUCAUCUAUAUAUCCUCCGUAUCAUAUUACAUUAGCAUGCCUUCUUUUUCUCUUUACCACCGCAUGUUAAGGUAGUCACACACAAAUAUAUUGAGAGCAGUAAAAUUAGUUUUUAGAAACGAUUUCGUCCUUUAUUAGUCCCCCAAGGACGUUGAACU
rnacentral:lncRNA from 1 species